GAUAAACGCUAGCGGCAGGCCUAACACAUGCAAGUCGAGGGGCAUCGCGGUGCAGCAAUGCACUGGGCGGCGACCGGCGUACGGGUGCGUAACGCGUAUGCAACCUGCCCCGCACCGGGGGAUAGCCCGCCGAAAGGCGGAUUAAUACCCCAUGGUCCCGGGGGCCCGCAUGGGCAUCCGGGUAAAGCCUUGGCGGUGCGGGAUGGGCAUGCGUGCCAUUAGCUGGCUGGUGGGGUAACGGCCCACCAGGGCAACGAUGGCUAGGGGGUCUGAGAGGAUGGUCCCCCACACUGGUACUGAGACACGGACCAGACUCCUACGGGAGGCAGCAGUGAGGAAUAUUGGUCAAUGGGCGGAAGCCUGAACCAGCCAUGCCGCGUGCGGGAUGAAGGCCCUACGGGUUGUAAACCGCUUUUCCCCGGGAAGAAUAACCCCGAUGAGUCGGGUGAUGCCGGUACCGGGGGAAUAAGGAUCGGCUAACUCCGUG
rnacentral:rRNA from 1 species